ACCAGUUUUGGUCAUACGGAAAUGAAACCAUCUGAUCGGUACCCUACCAGGAGAGGAUUUGUCUAAGAAUUUGAUUAAAUCAGUAAUCUGCUGUCAGGAGGAUAUAAAGAUGAUGAUGUGUUGAAUCGAUGUUGAUGAAGACUAUAUUUUGGAAACUUCAGUUAGAGCCAAAGAAUGUUUCCAUUGCGAAGCAGAGGACAUAAGAUCAAAAUAGCCACUGUCUUCUUGGGCUUUACUGACUGCAAAAAUAGAAGAUCUGCUGAGUGUUGA
rnacentral:lncRNA from 1 species